GGUUCAUUCAAAUUUCUUCCCUAUCAACUUUCGAUGCGAGGGUAUUGUCCUCGCAUGGUUACAACGGGUAACGGAGGGUUAGGGCUCGACCCCGGAGAAGGAGCCUGAGAAACGGCUACUACAUCCAAGGAAGGCAGCAGGCGCGCAAAUUACCCAAUCCCGACCGGGGAGGUAGUGACAAUAAAUACUGAUACAGGGCUCUUUUGGGUCUUGUAAUCGGAAUGAGUACAAUUUAAAUCUCUUAACGAGGAACAAUUGGAGGGCAAGUCUGGUGCCAGCAGCCGCGGUAAUUCCAGCUCCAAUAGCGUAUAUUAAAGUUGUUGUGGUUAAAAAGCUCGUAGUUG
rnacentral:rRNA from 1 species